GUGGGGAAUAUUGGACAAUGGGCGCAAGCCUGAUCCAGCCAUGCCGCGUGAGUGAUGAAGGCCUUAGGGUUGUAAAGCUCUUUCAGUAGGGAAGAUAAUGACGGUACCUACAGAAGAAGCCCCGGCUAACUUCGUGCCAGCAGCCGCGGUAAUACGAAGGGGGCUAGCGUUGUUCGGAUUUACUGGGCGUAAAGCGCACGUAGGCGGAUUGGUCAGGUAGAGGUGAAAUCCCGAAGCUCAACUUCGGAACUGCCUUUAAUACUGCCAGUCUCGAGUCCGGAAGAGGUAAAUGGAACUCGUAGUGUAGAGGUGGAAUUCGUAGAUAUUAGGAAGAACACCAGGGGCGAAGGCGGCUCACUGGUCCGGUACUGACGCUGAGGUGCGAAAGCGUGGGGAGCAAACAGGAUUAGAAACCCUAGUAGACC
rnacentral:rRNA from 1 species